rnacentral:rRNA from 1 species
AUUGAACGCUGGCGGAAUGCUUUACACAUGCAAGUCGAACGGUAGAGGGGGCAACCCCUCGAGAGUGGCGAACGGGUGAGUAAUAUAUCGGAACGUGCCCAGUCGUGGGGGAUAACGUAGCGAAAGUUACGCUAAUACCGCAUACGAUCUAAGGAUGAAAGCGGGGGAUCGCAAGACCUCGCGCGAUUGGAGCGGCCGAUAUCAGAUUAGGUAGUCGGUGGGGUAAAGGCUCACCAAGCCAACGAUCUGUAGCUGGUCUGAGAGGACGACCAGCCACACUGGAACUGAGACACGGUCCAGACUCCUACGGGAGGCAGCAGUGGGGAGUUUUGGACAAUGGGCGAAAGCCUGAUCCAGCCAUUCCGCGUGCAGGAUGAAGGCCCUCGGGUUGUAAACUGCUUUUGUACAGAACGAAAAGGUUUCUACUAAUACUAGGAGCUCAUGACGGUACUGUAAGAAUAAGCACCGGCUAACUACGUGCCAGCAGCCGCCGUAA